CAAUAUAGCAGGAGGAAAACAAUACAGCGCUGCCCCUGUCAGUCUCAAACACAGAAGCAGCACACCCAUGCUACAAACACUCACAGAUGCACAGCACCGUAUCAGAUUAUUAGCUCCAAGGCAACUGUCAGCAUGCAGUUUUAUUGGAAAUGAAAACAAGGUCUUCCCAGCUCUAUCAUCACUCAGAGAUGCAGGAAGAAGAUCCUGCAGGGCACUGUGGAAAGAUCCGCAUCCAGCAGUACUGUUUGGACAGUCGUACUCGACCAUCAUUUCCCAAACGUGAGAUGUUCAACUGCUGCUCAGGAUGUCCCCACCAAGGGGAGCAUCCCUCCUUGGACACUGAUCUCUGCAGUCCUGAUGCUGAAUUAUUCUGGGAAGGAGUAUCAGGGGAACAAAUUAGUGAGGUGUUCUUACCAGAAAAUCCCGUGGCUACAGCUACCUGCAAGCAACAGGGCCCAGAGACUUGUACUUCCCUAUUCUGAUGCCUAAGCUUGAGGUUUGCCAGCACCUCUUGGUGAGCAGGAAGCUUCCAGCUGUGUUAGCUCUUCUGACAUGGCAAUUGCUCCAAAGGAGUUUCUCCAUCCUCCCUAUCUUUGCCUUAGUGGAAGGCUGAGAAGCCCUUGGCUGACAGCCAUUCCAAUACAUCUUGCAGGUAAUCCAUAGUUUCCUGGGUCAGAGCAGCUUCUCAGCAGCAAUCCUCUACUCUUAAAGUCAGUCCCCUUUCCUAGGUGGGAUACUUCUGCAGCACAAUCCCGUGUUCUGCCCUGGGUGAAGUUAGCCAGGACUUUGCACUCUCAAGGUCUUCAUCCAAAGCAGAAGUAACACAGCAAAAUGGACGUCAUGCUCAACCAAGAAGUAGUUGACACUAUCAGGACUUGGAGGAAUUAAAAUAAAUGACCAAAGUAAUUUUUGGCAGAGGACUCGAUUUCAAAGGACAAUGCACUGUCCAUUCUUCCCAGGGGAUGUUCUGGGAUAGACCUGCAUGAGUAACCUACAGCCAUUUUGAGCCAUCCCCUACUGCCCUCAGCAAGAACUUUCUGACCAAAACUUCAGGUGGAACGUACCAGCUAAGUGUGCUCAAGAUAUAUCACCCAAAGGACUGACACCACCAGCAGGACCAAAAGGAUGAUGUGUUCAGCAUGCUCAGGUUGGGCUUCGUGCCCAAAGGCAGCUGGUUUGUCCUCAUGGGGCAAGUCCUGCAUUGCCCAGGAAACACACUGUGCAAAUCCAUCGUGGAGGCUAGAACACAUCCAUGCAUGGAUCCUGAAGACUAACCUUGUCCCCUUCUCCAGGUGCCUGGGAACCUUGGCCACACACACGUACAGACCAGCCAGGUGCUGCAGGAAGCAGCAGGAUGAUAGAUGGCAGCUGCAAGCUGAGAGGUACAUGCACAAAACCCAUUUUUUUCUCCGCAAGGUUCAAAUAUUUUUGCUCCAUCUGAGGCUUGGAUCCAGGUUCUCCUGCAUGGCAGUCAGAGAUGCUGGAAAAGGCUCAACAUUAGAGCUCAGGAAUGGGGGCUCAGGUUCUGUUCCCCAGCUUAGGGCAGUGCUGGUAAAGAUCUGCCCUCACCCAGGCGCCUGGGAAGCUUUUGGCUGCUGCUGGCAUUAGUGCAGAAAGCAAGAAGACAUUUACUUCCAGGAACAGAUGCAAACACAGGGAAUUGCCAAUUGGCCAAAAUCAAAUACAACCUGACCUCUGAUGAUCUGCAGCCUUACUACUUUCAAACAACACUGCACUCAAUAUUGGCAAUAUAAUAGUUUACCUUGGAGACCCAAGGGCUAAAGGAGAAAUGAAACCUGAAGCUGCUGGAGAUGUUGCUUUUCCACUGUUUCUAUUACCGAUAACAGGCCAGCAAAACCCCACGAGGUUCUUGAGCUCUAGGAGAGCCUGCCUGCACCUCCUCCCCAAGACUUCGUGCCAAAAUACCCCAAAACUUAAGAGCUGGGCUUCAUCAGAGCACCUGAUAAAUAUAGAAAGUAGAGAAUGAUCUGGAAUAGUGAUGUUCUACCCUGGGAGGAAGGUCCUUUCUUUUGGGUUUCCUUUCAGUCCUGCAACCUCCCAGCAAUCCCCUGGGUAAUCACAAAGCCUUGCUGCCCCCAGAAAAGCCCCUUUCUUUCCUUUGAAGGGGAGCUGACACCCACAGGGAACAAACCCUAAGUCAGAAAUAAUGGGAGUCCUUUGAAAAAAACCAAAAACAUCCGAGUCUGAAUAUAACCACAAGGAAAAAAAUGGAAACUUAUCUGCAAUAUGCACCCCCUCCCAAGCAAAUUAAUACCCUGGACCAGAGCCUUGUCCAGAAGCAGUGUAAAUAUCUCAGCAACUCAUUACCUUGUUAAUUGGAUCACUCCAAGCUUUUUGGAACCAGUCUAAAGCACAGUCAAAUCCAUUAAAAAAUGGAUUUCUUAUUUCUCUAUAGCUGUCUCUAGCUUUAGUGCUUUUUCUAUUAAACAUUGGCUAGAGUAGCUUCUCCCUUUACCUCAACUCUUUCCCAGCAAGGCACUUCCUACAUUUUUGAUGUGUGCCCUUCUUCCUGCCCCCGAGGUGCCGUGUGGGUGCUGGUAGGGUACGCUGGGAGCAAUAACCCUCCUCCUGCCAAACUGCCCCUCCUCAUCCUGUUCCCACAUCCUGGGAUCUCCCUCACUUGGAUGCUCCAACCCCAGCACAGAGGAGAAAUGCAUCCGGGGACACUCUGAGCUGCACUUUGCACUUAUUUCCUAAGAAACUAAAGAUGUGUGUGGGGGGGAACCAACACAUUGCUUCCAUCCCCUGUACAAACCUUUCACUUACCAAGGCAUCCACGUGCUUGCCUACUGAUUAAGAGCACUAGGGCCACUGUGUGAGAUUGGACACGACAGGAGCAUAAGGGGAGCCAUAUGCUCCGCCAGGAGAGGAGCAUACAGCCAUUAGGAGGGGGGCUGGUGCUCAGGGCCAUGGCUGAAGCUGCAGGGAUGUGGGUGCUGCUCCCCUCACAGUUCAGCCUUUCACAUCCCCAAGGACCAGCGAUGCCCUCACUGAGGGCAGUGCAAGGAGGUGGCAUCCAAGUACCAACCAUCUUUUGCACAGAGGGAGCCCCUCCAUUUGUUUUUCCAGGACCUAGCAGCCCAGCCUUCUCCUUGCCCUAUGAAAAAACCACUUGGCCUCCCUGCAGCAUCAGCAGCGCUGGGUGAUGGGACCCAGGGCUCCUGCUUCAGGCAUCCUCAAACUGCCACCAUGUCCCUAAGGCAGAGCACAGCCAGGGCCAGGCAAAAAGUCCUCCCACAACUGCGCUAAAACCUUUUAACAGCCAAGAACCAUUUUCUGCAUGGCGUGUCAAGCAGUAAAGCUGUUGAAUAGGCAGGGCCAGGGGUUGGUUUAGAGUGUAGCAGCACGGAAUGCCUUUUUCCCAGCAUCUGUGGUGGUCAGGGAAGUCUUUAAGCCCCUUCACUGUUUUUCUGGCAGCACCUUCCCACAUCUGCGGGUCUGCACAGUGAACUGUAUCACUGGCACAGCUGGAGUUAAUUUUGACUUCUGAAAGAGGGAAGGAGGAUUAUGUUUAUAUAUAUGCAUAUAAAAAUGUGUAUUUUUAAACACAGGAAAUCCUGGUUCCUCCCUGGGGCUUGGCUGGAUGGGUCGCAGGGCCAAAGGAAAUGCUCUGCAGCAGCACCCUGCAUGCCAAGCACUUUACCAGGGCAGGUUUUUGCAGCUGUUGGGCUCCUUAUGUCCAUACCCAGCCUGCAAAGCACCCCGUGGCAUGGUGGGGAUAAACCUUGGUGAACAUGGCUGUCAUUGUGCUGCUGGAUGCGUGCCCUGAGGUCUCACCACAUCAUGCCAUGUGCUGGUGCUGCUGCUUGGCCAUCCAGCUGCUAUCCUGAGGGGAGCACAGAAC
ensembl:lncRNA